GCCUGAUUCAAGCAAAGCCUCCAAUGUUUGCUUAGAAAUUGACUUGUCAUAAGUUCGUGACCUUAGAGCUCCAUAGAAGUCCAGAGCUUGAUUAGGAAAUGUGUUUACAAUGCUUAUAACCUCAUCUCUAGAUACGCCAUCCUUUUCAUACAUUCUGUGAACAAUGUUCACAAUAUCUUCACGGUCAGGUUGCCAGUAAAAU
rnacentral:misc_RNA from 1 species